CCUACGGGUGGCAGCAGUGAGGAAUAUUGGUCAAUGGGCGGGAGCCUGAACCAGCCAAGCCGCGUGAGGGAAGAAGGUACAGCGUAUCGUAAACCUCUUUUGCCAGGGAACAAAGGCGGGGACUAGUCCCCGGAUGAGGGUACCUGAAGAAAAAGCAGCGGCCAACUCCGUGCCAGAGGCCGCGGUAAUACGGGGGAUUAGAGCGUUAUCCGGACUUAUUGGGUUUAAGGGGUGCGCAGGCGGCCGGUUAAGUAAGCGGUAAACGCCCGGGGUUCAACCCCGGAGAGCCGUUGAAACUGGGGGGCUGGAGUUGGAGAGAAGUACGCGGAAUGCGCGGUGUAGCGGUGAAAUGCGUAGAUAUCACGCAGAACCCCGGUUGCGAAGGCAGCGUACCGGCUCCACACUGACGCUGAGGCACGAAAGCGUGGGUAUCGAACAGGAUUAGAUACCCGUGUAGUC
rnacentral:rRNA from 1 species